CCUAAAGGCGCAAUGAAAGUAAAGGUUGUCCUUGUGUCAACCGAGGGAGGAUGAGGUGUAUUAYAAUAUAUUUUCGCACUCCCGGGGCGUUUCGUUCUCAUUGCGAGAAGAGGCGCACCUAGAGCGUACACGUUGGGACCCGAAAGAUGGUGAACUAUGCCUGGUCAGGAUGAAGUCAGGGGAAACCCUGAUGGAGGUCCGUAGCGAUUCUGACGUGCAAAUCGAUCGUCGGAACUGGGUAUAGGGGCGAAAGACUAAUCGAACCAUCUAGUAGCUGGUUCCCUCCGAAGUUUCCCUCAGGAUAGCUGGUGCUCGUGAGUUCUAUGAACUUUUUAUGAGUCUCAUCUGGUAAAGCGAAUGAUUAGAGGCCUUGGGGCCGAAACGACCUCAACCUAUUCUCAAACUUUAAAUGGGUGAGAUCUCUGGCUUGCUUGAAUAUAUAUAAAAUAAUGAAGCCACGAGAUAAUAUUGGAUCAGAGUGCCAAGUGG
rnacentral:rRNA from 1 species